UGGGAUGUAGCUCAAUGGAAGAGCAUUUGCCUGGCAAGCUCAAGUACAUGGUUCAAUCCCCAACCCAG
rnacentral:tRNA from 1 species